rnacentral:rRNA from 1 species
AGAGUUUGAUCAUGGCUCAGGAUGAACGCUGGCGGCGUGCCUAACACAUGCAAGUCGAGCGAUUCUCUUCGGAGAAGAGCGGCGGACGGGUGAGUAACGCGUGGGUAACCUGCCCUGUACACACGGAUAACAUACCGAAGGGUAUGCUAAUACGAGAUAAUAUACUUUUAUCGCAUGGUAGAAGUAUCAAAGCUCCGGCGGUACAGGAUGGACCCGCGUCUGAUUAGCUAGUUGGUAAGGUAACGGCUUACCAAGGCGACGAUCAGUAGCCGACCUGAGAGGGUGAUCGGCCACAUUGGAACUGAGACACGGUCCAAACUCCUACGGGAGGCAGCAGUGGGGAAUAUUGCACAAUGGGCGAAAGCCUGAUGCAGCAACGCCGCGUGAGCGAUGAAGGCCUUCGGGUCGUAAAGCUCUGUCCUCAAGGAAGAUAAUGACGGUACUUGAGGAGGGAGCCCCGGCUAACUACGUGCCAGCAGCCGCGGUAAUACGUAGGGGGCUAGCGUUAUCCGGAAUCACUGGGCGUAAAGGGUGCGUAGGUGGUUUCUUAAGUCAGAGGUGAAAGGCUACGACUCAACCGUAGUAAGCCUUUGAAACUGGGAAACUUGAGUGCAGGAGAGGAGAGUGGAAUUCCUAGUGUAGCGGUGAAAUGCGUAGAUAUUAGGAGGAACACCAGUUGCGAAGGCGGCUCUCUGGACUGUAACUGACACUGAGGCGCGAAAGCGUGGGGAGCAAACAGGAUUAGAUACCCUGGUAGUCCACGCCGUAAACGAUGAGUACUAGCUGUCGGAGGUUACCCCCUUCGGUGGCGCAGCU